rnacentral:rRNA from 1 species
GAUGAACGCUGGCGGCGUGCCUAAUACAUGCAAGUCGAGCGAACAGACGAGGAGCUUGCUCCUCUGACGUUAGCGGCGGACGGGUGAGUCACACGUGGAUAACCUACUUAUAAGACUGGGAUCACUUCGGGAAACCGGAGCUAAUACCGGAUAAUAUAUUGAACCGCAUUGUUCAAUAGUGAAAGACGGCUUUGCGGGCUCUUCUAGAUGGAUCCGCGCCGCAUGAGCUAGUUGGUAAGGUAACGGCUUACCAAGGCGGCGAUGCGUAGCCGACCUAAGAGAGGGAUCGGCCGCCUGAGAACUGAGACAGGGUCCAGACUCCUACGAGAGGCAGCAGUAGGGUAUCGUCCGCAACGGGCGAAAGCCUUACGGAGCGAGGGGGCGUGAGAGAUGAAGGUCUCCGGAUCGUAAAACUCUGUUAUUAGGGAAAAACAAAUGUGUAAGGAAAUAUACACGGCUUGACGGUAACUAAUCAGAAAGCAACGGCUAACUACGUG